rnacentral:rRNA from 1 species
AACGAACGCUGGCGGCAUGCCUAACACAUGCAAGUCGAACGAAGCCUUCGGGCUUAGUGGCGCACGGGUGCGUAACGCGUAUGCAACCUACCUUAAACAGGGGAAUAGCCUCUCGAAAGAGAGAUUAAUACCGCAUAAUAUAUAUUUAAUGCAUAUUAGAUAUAUUAAACCUACGGGGGUUUAAGAUGGGCAUGCGUGACAUUAGCUAGUUGGUGAGGUAACGGCUCACCAAGGCAACGAUGUCUAGGGGGUCUGAGAGGAUGUCCCCCCACACUGGUACUGAGACACGGACCAGAC